rnacentral:rRNA from 1 species
UACGGAGACUGCGAGCGUUACUCGGAUUCACUGGGCGUAAAGGGUGCGCAGGCGGCUAAUUGUGUCAGGUGUGAAAUCCCGGGGCUUAACUCCGGAACUGCGCCUGAAACUGAUUGGCUAGAGGCUCGGAGAGGUAAGCGGAAUUCCAGGUGUAGCAGUGAAAUGCGUAGAUAUCUGGAGGAACACCAAAGGCGGAGGCAGCUUACUGGAAGAGUUCUGACGCUCAGGCACGAAAGCGUGGGUAGCGAAAGGG